rnacentral:tRNA from 1 species
ACUUUCUGAGUAUAGCAAUACUUAUGACUUCCAAUCAUUAAACCCCAGAUAAAAACUGAGAGAAAGUA